UCUACAGUGUCAGGCGUCUUGGAACUGGAUCAUGGCUCUGGAGCUCUACAAUCAGCAUGAGGCAAAGCCAGAUAAGCCUGCGACCUGCUCUUCAGGGUGGUGAGAUCCUCCAGACUCCAGCACCCAGAGAUGCUCUCCUGAGGCCCAGACCACCACUGCCAGCCAUGGAGGAGGAGUGGCGUUGGCGAUUCAGGACUGCUUUUUCUGUCUCUUCAGUGCCUCUCUCAGCAACAUGAAGGUGUAAAACCAAGCUGUAGCCCAACCACCUGGGGAACAUGUUUUCAAGACCUCCUGCUGUUGUAUCAUAAGUCAUGCUCCUCAAAUUUGGCUCAGAAUAAAUCUCUUCAAAUAUUUUACA
rnacentral:lncRNA from 1 species